AUGUUAUCUUCUAGAAUCUAUUUUCUUUCUGCUGCUUGUUCAAUUUGACUGCUGAGACUUUCCAUUACAUUUUGCAUUUCUUUAAGUGUGUCCUUGAUUUCCAGAAGUUGUGAUUGUUUUUAUUUAUACUAUAUAUUUCACUGAAUAAUUUUCUUUUCAUAUCCUGUGUCAUGUUUUUGAUUAUCUUAAGUUGGACUU